UGGGGAAUAUUGGACAAUGGGCGCAAGCCUGAUCCAGCAAUGCCGCGUGUGUGAAGAAGGCCUUCGGGUUGUAAAGCACUUUUUAUCAGGAGCGAAACGCUGUCGGCUAAUACCCGGCGGAACUGACGGUACCUGAGGAAUAAGCACCGGCUAACUUCGUGCCAGCAGCCGCGGUAAUACGAAGGGUGCAAAGCGUUAAUCGGAGUUACUGGGCGUAAAAGCGUGCGUAGGCGGUUUCUUAAGUCUGCUGUGAAAUCCCCGGGCUCAACCUGGGAAUGGCAGUGGAUACUGGGAGGCUAGAGUGUGUCAGAGGGUGGUGGAAUUCCCGGUGUAGCGGUGAAAUGCGUAGAGAUCGGGAGGAACAUCAGUGGCGAAGGCGGCCACCUGGGACAACACUGACGCUGAGGCACGAAAGCGUGGGGAGCAAACAGGAUUAGAUACCCUGGUAGUCCACGCCCUAAAACGAUGCGAACUGGAUGUUGGUCUCAACUCGGAGAUCAGUGUCGAAGCUAACGCGUUAAAGUUCGCCGCCUGGGGGAGUACGGUCGCAAGACUGAAACUC
rnacentral:rRNA from 1 species